rnacentral:rRNA from 1 species
UGAUGACGAGACGCUAAGGCGUUGAAGCAGUGUAUGUCAGACUUCCAAGAAAAGCUCGCAAUGUCACAAAUAAAAGAUGCCUGUACCAUAACCGACACAGGUGGGUAGGUAGAGUAUACUAAGGGGCGCGAGAUAACUCUCUCUAAGUAACUCGGCAAAAUGACUCCGUAACUUCGGGAGAAGGAGUGCCUUAUUUAUAAGGUUGCAAUAACAAGAUCCAAGCAACUGUUUAUCAAAAACACAGGUCUCCGCUAAGUCGUAAGACGAUGUAUGGGGGCUGACGCCUGCCCAGUGCCAGAAGGUUAAAGAAGUUGGUUAGUGUAUGCGAAGCUGAUGACUGAAGCCCUGGUGAACGGCGGCCGUAACAAUAACGGUCCUAAGGUAGCGAAAUUCCUUGUCGGGUAAGUUCCGACCCGCACGAAAGGCGUAAUGAUUUGGAUACUGUCUCGGAGAGAGGCUCGGUGAAAUAGACUUGUCUGUGAAGAUGCGGACUACCUGCACCAGGACAGAAAGACCCUAUGAAGCUUUACUGUAACUUGAAAUUGGAAUUGGACUUUGCUUGCGCAGUAUAGGUGGGAAGCGUUGAAAAUAUUCUUGCGGGAGUAUUGGAGCUAUCAGUGAGAUACCACUCUUGUAAUGUUAGAUUUCUAACUUUGAACCAUAAUCUGGUCAAAGAACAGUUUCAGGUGGGCAGUUUGACUGGGGCGGUCGCCUCCCAAAUGGUAACGGAGGCGUACAAAGGUUUCCUCUGAACGGAUAGAAAUCGUAUCUAGAGUGUAAAGGCAUAAGGAAGCUUGACUGUGAGACCUACAAGUCGAGCAGGGACGAAAGUCGGUCUUAGUGAUCUGACGGUACUGAGUGGAAAGGCCGUCACUCAACGGAUAAAAGUUACUCUAAGGAUAACAGGCUGAUCUCCCCCAAGAGUUCACAUCGACGGGGAGGUUUGGCACCUCGAUGUCGGCUCAUCGCAUCCUGGGGCGGUAGUACGUCCCAAGGGUUGGGCUGUUCGCCCAUGAAAGCGGUACGCGAGCUGGGUUCAGAACGUCGUGAGACAGUUCGGUCCAUAUCCGGUGUAGGCGCUAGAAUAUUGAGAGGAGCCUUCUUUAGUACGAGAGGACCGAGAAGGACACACCGCUGGUGUACCAGUUAUCGUGCCAACGGUAAACGCUGGGUAGCUAUGUGUGGAGUGGAUAACCGCUGAAAGCAUCUAAGUGGGAAGCCCACCUCGAGAUGAGUAUUCUC